UACGGAGGGUGCGAGCGUUGUCCGGAAUCACUGGGCGUAAAGGGCGCGUAGGCGGCCUGAUAAGUAGGGGGUGAAAUCCUGCGGCUUAACCGCAGGGCUGCCUUCUAAACUGUCAGGCUGGAGCACAGUAGAGGCAGGUGGAAUUCCCGGUGUAGCGGUGGAAUGCGUAGAGAUCGGGAGGAACACCGGUGGCGAAGGCGGGUCUCUGGGCAACUCCUGACGCUGAGGCGCGAAAGCGUGGGGAGCAAACGGG
rnacentral:rRNA from 1 species